rnacentral:rRNA from 1 species
UACGUAGGGUGCGAGCGUUAAUCGGAAUUACUGGGCGUAAAGCGCGCGUAGGCGGCUCGAUAAGUCCGUUCUGAAAGUCCAGGGCUCAACCCUGGGAUGCGGAUGGAUACUGUCGAGCUCGAGUCCGGAAGAGGCGAGUGGAAUUCCUGGUGUAGCGGUGAAAUGCGCAGAUAUCAGGAGGAACACCAAUGGCGAAGGCAGCUCGCUGGGACGUGAACUGACGCUGGAGACGCGAAAGCGUGGGGAGCAAACAGG